GGAACCGGGGGAUCUGGGUGAACCACAUAUCCAAAAUUCACCCAGAUCCGUUCAGUAGUUUGGAAGAUACAGUUUAAUGCAGAUUCCGCAGAACAUAUACAGGCUAUAUGAAAAAUAAUUACUGUAUAAUGUGUCCCCUGUUAUAUAGUUUAAAACUACUGCACGAUGUCUUUGUGCACCAAAUACCGGUGAGAUGGCACCAUGUAGAAAAGUCCAAAC